CAAUAGCGUAUAUUUAAGUUGUUGCAGUUAAAAAGCUCGUAGUUGGAUUUCGGGCGGGGUUGGCCGGUCCGCCGUUUCGGUGUGCACUGGCUGGUUUCGUCUUUUUGUCGAGGACGCGCUUCUGGCCUUUAUUGGUCGGGACGCGGAGUCGGCGCAGUUACUUUGAAAAAAUUAGAGUGUUCAAAGCGGGCAUACGCUUGAAUAUAUUAGCAUGGAAUAACACUAUAGGACUUCUGUUCUAUUUUGUUGGUCUUCGGAACGGGAGUAAUGAUUAAGAGGAACAGUUGGGGGCAUUCGUAUUUCAUUGUCAGAGGUGAAAUUCUUGGAUUUAUGAAAGACGAACUUCUGCGAAAGCAUUUGCCAAGGAUGUUUUCAUUAAUCAAGAACGAAAGUUGGGGGCUCGAAGACGAUCAGAUACCAU
rnacentral:rRNA from 1 species